rnacentral:lncRNA from 1 species
AUGGCCCUGCCUCAGGGAUGCCUGUGGGCAGAGGCCCUUCCCCGUGAGGGUCUGGACUCCUCCCCUGACAGCAGCUGGGCCAGAACCGGCUUGGAAGGACGGGGUGGGGACAAGGCGGCUGAGCCUCACGCCGCAGGAGCCCGUGUGGUGUCCACCCGCAGCCGCCCCCCAGAAGCAGGCCCUGGGACCCCGAGCCUCCCGGCCCCGUCCCCGCUGCUCCUCAGGGUUUCUUCCCAAAGAGUCCUACUCAGCAGGGAGGAGGGGCAGGGGAGGCUCCUGACUCCGCUUUCCAGCCGCAGGACUGACUACGGAAGGGACCAAGGGGGCAGCAGCCGCGUCCACCUGCCCCGCCCCCACCUCCGUCCACUUCCCUGGCUACGGCCUCCUGCCCGCGGGGGACGCACCGCACCUGCGCCGGCCCGGGGCGCCGGAGCCCAGCCGCGGUCGGUCUGUUCCCAAGUGCCCCGGGGCCCCCCCGCCGCACUGUCCGAGGCCCAGGAGCUCGUGCGCACAGCCUCGGAGACCUGGGCUGCGCUGGCCCGGGCCUCGGCUUCCGCAAGGCUGAGCAGGCGGCACGUCCUCCUGCCCACCUCCGGGCUGCAGAGGACCCACGUGGAAGCACCUGUCCCUCCGGGGAAGGCGGCGCAGGCGAGAGACGUGAGAGCCGGGGGUGCUGAGCCGGUGCCGCCGCCGCCGCCGCCGCCGCCAGCACGUGCGGGGCUGGGGGUCAAGGGUUCCCGCCCUGGGCCACCGGGGGAACCGGGGCUCGCAGGCCGCGCCCCCCAUGCGGUCCCCGGGGCCGGGCCUCCUGCGGCUGUGCGGCCAGUGCGAGUCCGGGCCUCGCCGCAGCUCCGGGGGUGGCCGAGGUCGGCCGUGAGCGCCGCGCGACCCGCGGACGGGACGACCGGGCUCCCUCGGUCCGCGCUGUCCCGGAGCGGAUUCCCCGCUAGGGCUCGGCUCGGCUCCGCUCUGUCCUCGCCCGGGGCCCUGGUCGGUGUACGCGGCCUCUUGGGGCGCAGACGGACCCGUCACGCGCGGGACCGCGGGGGCUGCCGAGGUGCUGAGCGACACCCGGAAACCUGGGGCGCCCGGGCCCUCCCCGUCCCGCCGCGUCGUUCCUCCGGGCGCCGCCCCGCGCCCCCGCCGCCUCCCGGGGUCAGCGUCGGGCCGGGGUACCGGGGGCGGGGGGCGGGGCCCGCAGGACGAGCGUCCGGGCCCGGCCGAGGCCCCGCGAGGACAGCCCCGGGGGCGGCGCCGGGUCACAAUCCCCGCGGGCCUGGGACGCAGGCCACGCCCCGGGCGGCGGGGGGAGGGGCCGCGCGCGGCGCAGGCGCAGAGCGGGCCGGAAGCGGAAGCGGCGGGGCGGGGCGGGGCGGGGGGCGGGGACGGCCGCGGCGGAACUUCCGCCGGGCUGGGGCCCGCCCCCUGGGGGCUCCCGCAGCGCUGUGGGCCCCGCCCCGCCCCGCCCCGCCCCGCCCCGCCCCCGCGGCCCCCGCCCGCCUUCCGCCCGGUGCCGGGAUCCCUGCGAGCGGACCCGCGAGGGCCGGGGGCGGCGGCGGGGCCCGUGGGGCGUGGCCCGCGCGGCGCGGCUGA